rnacentral:rRNA from 1 species
CCUACGGGAGGCACCAGUGGGGAAUAUCGCACAAUGGGCGCAAGCCUAAUGCAGCCAUGCCGCGUGUGUGAAGAAGGCCCUCGGGUUGUAAAGCACUUUCAGCGGGGAGGAAGGCGCCAAGGUUAAUAACCUUGGCGAUUGACGUUACCCGCAGAAGAAGCACCGGCUAACUCCGUGCCAGCAGCCGCGGUAGUACGGAGGGUGCAAGCGUUAAUCGGAAUUACUGGGCGUAAAGCGCACGCAGGCGGUCUGUCAAGUCGGAUGUGAAAUCCCCGGGCUCAACCUGGGAACUGCAUUCGAAACUGGCAGGCUAGAGUCUUGUAGAGGGGGGUAGAAUUCCAGGUGUAGCGGUGAAAUGCGUAGAGAUCUGGAGGAAUACUGGUGGCGAAGGCGGCCCCCUGGACAAAGACUGACGCUCAGGUGCGAAAGCGUGGGGAGCAAACAGGAUUAGAUACCCCUGUAGUC